GGGGUGGCAGAGUGGCAAUGCGCUGGACACCCAAAAGAAGAGGGCCGGAAUCGAGAUCCAGUGGCCCUUCGGGGCCUCAAGGGUUCAAAUCCCUUCCCC
rnacentral:tRNA from 1 species